GGGGGUUUAGCUUUGUGGUAGAGCGCUUGCCUAGCAAGCACAAGGCCCUGGGUUCGAUCCCCAGCUCCG
rnacentral:tRNA from 1 species